UAGUCCACGCAGUAAACGAUGAAUGUUAGUCGUCGGGUAGCUAGUCUAUUCGGUGAUGCAGCUAACGCAUUAAACAUUCCGCCUGGGGAGUACGGUCGCAAGAUUAAAACUCAAAGGAAUAGACGGGGACCCGCACAAGUGGUGGAGCAUGUGGUUUAAUUCGAAGAUACGCGAAGAACCUUACCUAGCCUUGACAUAUUUGAGAAUCUUCCAGAGAUGGAGGAGUGCCUUCGGGAAUUCAUAUACAGGUGCUGCACGGCUGUCGUCAGCUCGUGUCGUGAGAUGUUGGGUUAAGUCCCGCAACGAGCGCAACCCUCGUCACUAGUUACUAACGGUUCGGCCGAGGACUCUAGUGAGACUGCCUUCGCAAGGAGGAGGAAGGUGAGGACGACGUCAAGUCAUCAUGGCCCUUACGGCUAGGGCAACACACGUGCUACAAUGGUUGGGACAAGUGAGACGCGAUACCGCGAGGUGGAGCAAAUCUAUAAACCCAAU
rnacentral:rRNA from 1 species